rnacentral:tRNA from 1 species
GCGGGUGUAGUUUAGUGGUAGAACUUCACUGAUCGUGCGGGUUCGAUUCCCGCCACCCGCU